AGUGAACGCUGGCGGUAGGCCUAACACAUGCAAGUCGAACGGCAGCACAGUAAGAGCUUGCUCUUACGGGUGGCGAGUGGCGGACGGGUGAGGAAUACAUCGGAAUCUACUUUUUCGUGGGGGAUAACGUAGGGAAACUUACGCUAAUACCGCAUACGACCUACGGGUGAAAGCAGGGGAUCUUCGGACCUUGCGCGAUUGAAUGAGCCGAUGUCGCAUUAGCUAGUUGGCGGGGUAAAGGCCCACCAAGGCGACGAUCCGUAGCUGGUCUGAGAGGAUGAUCAGCCACACUGGAACUGAGACACGGUCCAGACUCCUACGGGAGGCAGCAGUGGGGAAUAUUGGACAAUGGGCGAAAGCCUGAUGCAGCAAUGCCGCGUGAGUGAAGAAGGUCUUCGGAUCGUAAAGCCCUUUUGUUGGGGAAGAACAGCAGCAGGUUAAUCCCUGGCUGUCUUGACGGUACCCAAAGAAUAAGCACCGGCUAACUUCGUG
rnacentral:rRNA from 1 species